rnacentral:rRNA from 1 species
GAUGAACGCUGGCGGCGUGCUUAACACAUGCAAGUCGAACGAAGCAUUUGCGACAGAUUUUUUCGGAAUGAAGUUGCUUAUGACUGAGUGGCGGACGGGUGAGUAACGCGUGGGUAACCUGCCUUGUACUGGGGGAUAGCAGCUGGAAACGGCUGGUAAUACCGCAUAAGCGCACAAUGUUGCAUGACAUGGUGUGAAAAACUCCGGUGGUAUAAGAUGGACCCGCGUCUGAUUAGCUAGUUGGUGAGAUAACAGCCCACCAAGGCGACGAUCAGUAGCCGACCUGAGAGGGUGACCGGCCACACUGGGACUGAGACACGGCCCAGACUCCUACGGGAGGCAGCAGUGGGGAAUAUUGCACAAUGGAGGAAACUCUGAUGCAGCGACGCCGCGUGAGUGAAGAAGUAAUUCGUGAUGUAAAGCUCUAUCAGCAGGGAAGAUAGUGACGGUACCUGACGAAGAAGCUCCGGCUAAAUACGUG